AGACAGGAUCUCACCAUGUUGCCCAAACUCCUGGCCUCCAGUGAUCCUCCCACCUCGGUCUCCCAGAGUGCUGGAAUUACAGAUGGUGCGUGGCCACGUGGGAGACAACUCAGAGUCUUUGCCACAGACACCACGGGGACACGACUCUUGCAUUUGGUGACAAAUCGCACUGCUGGUGAGAUACUGAGCUGCACUUCGCUGGGAAGGAAAGCAGAGGCUGGACCUCUGGGAUUCCCGGACACGGAGGCUCCGACAUACAAAAGGACAUAACCGGAGGGGAAAUGGCAGAGCCGGGCUCAAACCCAGGACUUCCUGAGUCUAAGCCCAAAUCCGGCCCUAGAUGAGCUGCCAUGGUACGCUGCACCCUCCAUGGCCAGAGCUUGCCUGGCCUGCUUCUUAGGUGAAGGAGGUACAGAGCUACCUUCUGCUUCCAGGCUCGGGGGUGAAAUGACCCCCUACUAAAGUCACACAGAGUAUGGAGCAGCAUCAGGACGACACGCCAAAUCGUCUGACUCCAGAGCCCUCUCUACACAGAGCUGGGAGAUAAAGUCAGGAGAGACAGCCAAAAGGAUGUGGGGAAAAUGUCCUCAGAUGGUUGGAGGUCUUGAAAAGGUCUUCCCAGAGACGCCAGCGCCUUUGAUCAGGUUGUCUUCCCAGGGACGCCAGCGCCUCGAAAAUUUCUGGUUUGGGAGAACUGCCAGCGAUGCUCCUAGAGACCUUUCAAACCUCUUUGCUAAUUCCUCUUGCCAAGAGAUGCUUGAGAGGAAAAAUUAACAUGAAUAAAAUAUCAUUGAAAGAAUCUACAGGCCGGGUGCGGUGGCUGACACCUGUAAUACCAACACUUUGGGAGGCCAAGGCAGGUGAAUCACCUGAGGUCAGAAGUUCAAGACCAGCCUGUUCAACAUGGUAAAACCCCAUCUCUACUAAAACUACAAAAAAAAAAAAUAAAAAUAAAAAAAAUAGCUGGGCGUGGUGGCGGGCGCCUGUAAUCCCAGCUACUUUGGAGGCUGAGGCAAGAGAAUCACCUGAACCCAGGAGGCAGAGGUUGCAGUGAGCCGAGAUCACACCACUGCACUCCAGCCUGGACAACAGAGCGAGACUCCAUCUCAAAAAAAAAAAAAAUCUACAGUCCAAUUUAGUGGUGGCUAGGUGACAAUGUUUUGUUGUUCAUGUUGUAGUUGCUGAUGUAUGUGCGGUUGGAAAUAAAUUCAGGAGUAGGGAAAAGGAACUGCUGCACGUG